UUUUAAUUUUGUUUUAUUCUGUUUUAAAUAUUUUCUUUGAAAGAUAGAAUUGUGCCGGAUACGGCCAAUUAAAACAAUGUUUUUCUCGGACAUAGGUUUGAACUGGUCCAAAAAAAUUGCGUAUACGCUCAUACCUAAUACAGUUAUCUAAAUUUCACUGAAAAAUGAUCAUGAAUAAGGCCCUGUUUGGAUGCAUAGUUAAAAAACUCCAUGGAAUUUUUAUUUUAUAGUUUUGGUCUAAAUGAAAUACGAAAUCUUGUAACUACAAAAAAAUUCCACAGCUCCAUUUUUAAGCUGUUUGGAUACAUAUCAUACAAUUCCACAGAAUUUAUAAUAAUUAAAUUUCUAAAAUUUUAAAAUUCAAAAUUCAAAAUUCAAAAUUCAAAAUUUAAAAUUCAAAUUUUAAAAAUAAAAUUUUAAAAAUUAAAAUUCAAAAUUCAAAAUAUAAAAUUAAAAUUUAAAAUUUAAAAUUUAAAAAUUAAAUUAGAUUUUCUGUUUUAAAUUUGAAAUUUGAAAUUUGGAAUUUGAAAUUUAAAAUUUGAAAUUUGAAACUUUAAAUAAUAAAAUGUAAAGUAUACCAUUUAAACUUUAAAUUUUGAAAUUUAAAAAAUCUAUAAUUAAAAUUUUAAAUUUUAAAUUUAAUAAUUUAUAAAUUUAAAAUUUAAAUUUUAAGUUUAAAUUUAAAUUUUGAAAAUAAAAAAUUAAAAAUUAAAAAUUAAAUUGAAAUUUGAAAUUUGAAAUUUGAAAUUUGAACUUUUUGAAAUUUGAAAUUUGAAAUUUGAAAUUUGAACUUUUUGAAAUUUGAAAUUUGAAAAUUGAAAUUUUAAAUUUUAAAAUUUUGAAAUUUGAAAUUUGAAAUUUGAAAUUUUUAAAAUUUGAAAUUUGAAAUUUGAACUUUUUGAAAUUUAAAAUUUAAAAUUUGAAAUCAAAAUUAAAAAUAAAUUUUAAAAUUUUAAAUUUUGAAAUUUAAAAUUUUAUGUUGAAAUUUAAAAUUUAGAAAUUGAUACAUCUUCGGGAGCCCAAAAUGGUGGAAUUUUUUUUCUUUGGUUAAAGUGGAUUGUAAGUUUACUCCAUUUUUUAGAAUAUAGUAUAACUAUACUCCAUCAUUUUUUUUUCUUCCAAACGCUUCAUAAAAUUAUUUUCCUAUCAGCGUAGCAUAGUUUAACUAUGCUACGUUUUUAGAGGUAUCCAAACGGGCCUAAGUGCCUACUGGUAUUGCACAAUUUACAAAGCUAUCCUCGUUGACUCAAAAAUAUCUGUAACAAAUGAUUAAAUGUAUAAAUAAAUACUAUAUGAGUUACAAAAUUCUACGUAACACAUUUACUACCAUGUCAAUGAAAAGCCCACUAAAUAUAAUUAUAGGGUUAACUGCAUACAGGUCUAUAUAAAUAUAAUAAAUUGUAAAUUUAUUUCUACAAAUUUUAAUUUUUAUAUAUUAUUAUUGCAACAGUUCUAAUAUUUUCAAAUAUAUUUCUGCCAUUAUAAUCCAUUAAAAAAAUUUAGUUAAUCAUAAGUUAAAUACUUCACCGUGAUUAGUUAAUAAGAUAAAUUAAUCUUUUUAUCUCUUUUAAAUUAACAGCUAGAAUUUUUAAAAAAAUAGAUAGUGCUUUAACGAUAACAAAUUAGAGAAAUAUAUUUCAAAAUAUUAUACUUUUUGCAAGAACAAUAUAUAAAAGUUGAAUUUAUAGAAAUAUAGUUAUAAUUUAUUAUAAAAUUGACACACAAACAGUGCC
rnacentral:lncRNA from 1 species